UGUCCAACUCUUUGUGACCCCAUGGACUGUAGCACGCCAGGCUUCCCUGUCCAUCACCAAUUCCCGGAGCUUACUCAAACUCAUGUCCUUUGAGACGGAGGUCAUGAGGAUAAAGUAGAGAGGAAACAGGUUUGAAAAGGACCAGCACCAUAGGAGAAGCACAGUUCUGAGAUUAGGAAACCAAGCCCAAGAAAACCUAUCCACGCAAGCCCAAGAAAACCUAUUUCACUCAUGGCUUAUAGAUUCUGGUGAACUCUUUUCCACUUUAUGUUCCAAGUAUGCUGAGGUUCCUGGCCAGCAGUAUGAGUUUGUAUGAUAAUGUCAAAAUCUUCAGUGUUGGGGUACAAGACAUAAUCUUUUAAUAAGAAUUUGAUACAUGGUGAAAGGAAGAGGAACCAGAGAUCAAAUUGCCAACAUCUGCUGGAUCAUCGAAAAAGCAAGAGAGUUCCAGAAAAACAUCUACUUCUGCUUUAUUGACUGUGUCAAAGCCUUUGACUGUGUGGAUCACCACAAACUGUGGAGAAUUCUUCAAGAGAUAGGAAUACCAGACCACCUGACCUGCCUCUUGAGAAAUCUGUAUGCAGGUCAGGAAGCAAGUUAGAACUGGACAUGGAACAACAGACUGGUUUCAAAUAGGAAAAGGAGUAUGUCAAGGCUGUAUGUUGUCACCCUGCUUAUUUAACUUAUAUGCAGAGUACAUCAUGAGAAAUGCUGGGCUGGAUGAAGCACAAGCUGGAAUCAAUAUUGCUGGGAGAAAUGUC